CCAGCUUUAGAGGGGGACGAGUCACUCCGCAUGGCGAUGUUCCUUCUACUGCUGAGGAUGUAGCCCUCACUGCCUGGACACCACUCUGGAACACACACCACCCAGAAGAAGACAGAAACCAUGACAACAGUACACCUUCAGUCCAGGCCGACUGCAUUUCAACAGGUCUGGCUGCAGGAGACACCUUCUCACGCCACAGACACUGAGACAUAGGAGAUGAGACAGGAUGUUGAGUGAUGCCAGAGAGGAUGGUGCUUUACUGACACCAACAGCACGAGAGGUGAAAUUACAAGCUAGGUAGCUAGUGUGUCCUAAGGAGCUAGUGCGUGUGUACUAGCUAGCUGGACAAGCAACAAUGGUUAACAUUACGCCCUGGACCAGAGCUAGUGCCCUGACUGGUAUGUGCCUAACACACUGAUGCCCUGGACCAGAGCUAGUGACUCACGCUACACGAGACCAACAAACGUCUACAGGUUACGCGAGCACACACCAUCUGAGACACAAAAAUACCAUCAGAGACGUACUUUGAGGUUUGUAGACCACGCUGUGUCAGCAUGCAUAACCUGGAGCUGAAUGCUUCACCGUACAUCUGCUCCAGGUGUGUGUGUUUACCCUGGGGUGUCUGUGUUUACCGUGUGUGUGUUUACCAUGGGGUGCCAGUGUGGUGUAUCCUGUCUGUGGGACGCUCCAGGGGCUCCACUCGGUACGUCCCUCCCCCCGGGCACACACCCUGAACAGAUGAUCAGUGUGGGGGUCCAGGUGUAGGACCAGGAACUCCUGCUCCGGCCCGAUGACAACAUAUCCAGAGGCGCAAACAGAUUCCUGGGAUCAGGACUGGUCCCUUUGUUG
rnacentral:lncRNA from 1 species